CCUCCAAGCUGUUGUGAACAACUGCUGUUUCUGGAGCAUCAGUUGCAAGAUGCCAGGCAGUGUCCAUGAUGCCAAUGUCCUGCGCCACUCUGACCUCUAUCAAAGGGCUCAUCUAAUGCCAAAAGAACAUCGAAGGAAAGGACGUCAGUCUCCUCGUUGUUGGUGACCCUGCAUACCCGCUGUUGGACUGGCUCAUCAAAGG